AAGAUUAGUUAAAUAGAGUUUUUGUUAGAGGAAAGAGAAGAUAAUAAUCCUAUCUGUGUUUAUCCAAUAUCCAUUAAAGACAGGGUCCCACCAGAAGCAAAACCACUCAUAGGUUUAGCUGUACAGUAUUCCAUCACCCAAAACCACCUUACUCACAUGUUUUACCCCUCUGCCCCCUGUUUCCUCUAUAAAGACACACAGAUUAGUAGUUUCCUAGUCCCAACAACUUAAGACAUGAGUUACUUCUUACGCAUCUGGAUGUCCAACACUGUGGCCACGGCAAUGGAAGAACCCACCACCAAGAGUUGCAGAAGGUUAUUCUCCGGCAGAGACUGUUCGGAGACCAGAGCUACCAGGUUGAGUGACGUGACCGGUCGACGAGUUCAACCAGAUGAGUCUCUCAGAAUAGUUAUGUAUUUCAGUUGCUGGGGUCAGGGAUAGCAUCCUCUGUUUGGCGUCUCACCAAAUGUAUUUGCAUCUCUUUCUACUUUUUCCUCUUGUAAAUUGGACGGAAUCGAUGGCGACCAACUCCUCUGAACCUGAGAGGGCCUUCAGGAUACCUCUCACACAACUCCAUGCGGUUGAAACAGUCUGCAAGAUACACUCCUUGCUGUGCAGCUACCUAUAGUGAUUCAAAAUUGGAAGGCAUCACAGAGCACAAGUAAGAUGACCCUUUUGACAAGGAAAAGUUUCAACACAUCAAGCACUAUUGAGAAGUAGUGUUUGCUGUAUGCACUUGUACCUGAGCUGUGGCAGGAAGAUUUUUCAUCUGAGAGUCUACUUUGGAAAGGGCUUCUUUGAAGUAUUCAAUGUCCACAGAAAUGCCGCUUUCUUGGGAUUUCUUUAGCAAGCUGGCCAUGUCUUUCAUUUGGUUCUUCUUUAAAUAAAUUUCCACUUGAGGGUACCUUUCAAUAAUGUCAUCAACAACGUCUUUAAAUGCUUUAAGAUCUAAUUUUCCGGAAUUGUUCUGGUCAGCCUUGCUAAAUAUCACGGCUAUAUCUUCCUGGUAAAGCCAUGGCACACAAAACUGUUAUGUUAGAACUUAAAGAACUAACAGACCACUGCAGCACCAUAAUCUGUUGUUAAAAUGUCAAUGAUUUUUAGCAGAAGUAGUAUGCAAUGGUUAAUAUCAGGUCUAUUGCAAAACCUUAAGCUUUUUAG
rnacentral:sRNA from 1 species